GGAAACUGCCUGAUGGAGGGGGAUAACUACUGGAAACGGUGGCUAAUACCGCAUAACGUCGCAAGACCAAAGAGGGGGACCUUCGGGCCUCUUGCCAUCAGAUGUGCCCAGAUGGGAUUAGCUUGUUGGUGAGGUAACGGCUCACCAAGGCGACGAUCCCUAGCUGGUCUGAGAGGAUGACCAGCCACACUGGAACUGAGACACGGUCCAGACUCCUACGGGAGGCAGCAGUGGGGAAUAUUGCACAAUGGGCGCAAGCCUGAUGCAGCCAUGCCGCGUGUAUGAAGAAGGCCUUCGGGUUGUAAAGUACUUUCAGCGGGGAGGAAGGUGUUGUGGUUAAUAACCGCAGCAAUUGACGUUACCCGCAGAAGAAGCACCGGCUAACUCCGUGCCAGCAGCCGCGGUAAUACGGAGGGUGCAAGCGUUAAUCGGAAUUACUGGGCGUAAAGCGCACGCAGGCGGUCUGUCAAGUCGGAUGUGAAAUCCCCGGGCUCAACCUGGGAACUGCAUUCGAAACUGGCAGGCUUGAGUCUUGUAGAGGGGGGUAGAAUUCCAGGUGUAGCGGUGAAAUGCGUAGAGAUCUGGAGGAAUACCGGUGGCGAAGGCGGCCCCCUGGACAAAGACUGACGCUCAGGUGCGAAAGCGUGGGGAGCAAACAGGAUUAGAUACCCUGGUAGUCCACGCCGUAAACGAUGUCUACUUGGAGGUUGUGCCCUUGAGGCGUGGCUUCCGGAGCUAACGCGUUAAGUAGACCGCCUGGGGAGUACGGCCGCAAGGUUAAAACUCAAAUGAAUUGACGGGGGCCCGCACAAGCGGUGGAGCAUGUGGUUUAAUUCGAUGCAACGCGAAGAACCUUACCUGGUCUUGACAUCCACGGAACUUUCCAGAGAUGGAUUGGUGCCUUCGGGAACCGUGAGACAGGUGCUGCAUGGCUGUCGUCAGCUCGUGUUGUGAAAUGUUGGGUUAAGUCCCGCAACGAGCGCAACCCUUAUCCUUUGUUGCCAGCGGUCCGGCCGGGAACUCAAAGGAGACUGCCAGUGAUAAACUGGAGGAAGGUGGGGAUGACGUCAAGUCAUCAUGGCCCUUACGACCAGGGCUACACACGUGCUACAAUGGCGCAUACAAAGAGAAGCGACCUCGCGAGAGCAAGCGGACCUCAUAAAGUGCGUCGUAGUCCGGAUUGGAGUCUGCAACUCGACUCCAUGAAGUCGGAAUCGCUAGUAAUCGUGGAUCAGAAUGCCACGGUGAAUACGUUCCCGGGCCUUGUACACACCGCCCGUCACACCAUGGGAGUGGGUUGCAAAAGAAGUAGGUAGCUUAACCUUCGGGAGGGCGCUUACCACUUUGUGAUUCAUGACUGGGGUGAAGUCGUAACAAGGUAACCGUAGGGGAACCUGCGGUUGGAUCACCUCCUUACCUGAAAGAAGC
rnacentral:rRNA from 1 species